AAAUCGGCCCUUUUCAGGGCCACCAAAAAUAUUAAACGUAGAAUAU
rfam:Nasonia vitripennis strain AsymCX Ctg127, whole genome shotgun sequence.